rnacentral:rRNA from 1 species
AACGCGAAGAACCUUACCUGGGCUCGAAAUGCAGAGGAAGAUGUCAGAAAUGGCUUCGUCCGAAAGGACUUCUGUAUAGGUGCUGCAUGGCUGUCGUCAGCUCGUGCCGUGAGGUGUUUGGUUAAGUCCAGCAACGAGCGCAACCCUUAUCAUUAGUUGCCAACACGUUAAGGUGGGGACUCUAAUGAGACUGCCUAGGUUAACUAGGAGGAAGGUGAGGAUGAUGUCAAGUCCGCAUGGCCUUUAUGUCCAGGGCUACACACGUGCUACAAUGGUCGGUACAGAGGGCUGCAAGACCGUAAGGUGGAGCAAAUCCCAGAAAACCGAUCUCAGUUCAGAUUGUGGUCUGCAACUCGACCACAUGAAGUCGGAAUUGCUAGUAAUGGCGUGUCAGCUACAACGCCGUGAAUACGUUCCCGGGCCUUGUA